rnacentral:rRNA from 1 species
GACGAACGCUGGCGGCGUGCUUAACACAUGCAAGUCGAACGGAAAGGCCCCAGCUUGCUGGGGUACUCGAGUGGCGAACGGGUGAGUAACACGUGGGUGAUCUGCCCUGCACUCUGGGAUAAGCCUGGGAAACUGGGUCUAAUACCGGAUAGGACCGUGCUUUAGUGUGUGCGGUGGAAAGUUUUUUGGUGCAGGAUGAGCCCGCGGCCUAUCAGCUUGUUGGUGGGGUAAUGGCCUACCAAGGCGGCGACGGGUAGCCGGCCUGAGAGGGUGUACGGCCACAUUGGGACUGAGACACGGCCCAGACUCCUACGGGAGGCAGCAGUGGGGAAUAUUGCACAAUGGGCGCAAGCCUGAUGCAGCGACGCCGCGUGGGGGAUGACGGCCUUCGGGUUGUAAACCCCUUUCGGCAGGGACGAAGCUUUUGUGACGGUACCUGCAUAAGAAGCACCGGCUAACUACGUG